rnacentral:rRNA from 1 species
GAUGAACGCUGGCGGCGUGCCUAACACAUGCAAGUCGAGCGAACAGACGAGGAGCUUGCUCCUCUGCCGUUAGCGGCGGACGGGUGAGUAACACGUGGAUAACCUGCCUAUAAGACUGGGAUAAUUUCGGGAAACCGGAGCUAAUACCGGAUCAUAUAUUGAACCGCAUGGUUCAAUAGUGAAUGACGGUUUUGCUGUCACUUAUAGAUGGAUUCGCGUCGCAUUAGCUAGUUGGUAAGGUAACGGCUUACCAAGGCUACGAUGCGUAGCCGACCUGAGAGGAUGAUCAGCCACACUGGAACUGAGACACGGUCCAGACUCCUACGGGAGGCAGCAGUAGGGAAUCUUCCACAAUGGGCGAAAGCUUGACGGAGCAACGCCGCGUGAGUGAUGAAGGUCUUCGGAUCGUAAAACUCUGUUAUUAGGGAAGAACAAAUGUGUAAGUAACUAUGGACGUCUUGACGGUACCUAAUCAGAAAGCCACGGCUAACUACGUG